CCUACGGGGGGCAGCAGUGGGGAAUCUUGCGCAAUGGGCGAAAGCCUGACGCAGUAACGCCGCGUGGAGGAUGAAGGCCUUCGGGUUGUAAACUCCUGUCGGGGGGAACGACGGCCGGUGGGUGAAUAGCGCAGCGGCCAGACGGUACCCCCAGAGGAAGCCCCGGCUAAUUCCGUGCCAGCAGCCGCGGUAAUACGGAAGGGGCAAGCGUUGUUCGGAAUCAUUGGGCGUAAAGGGCGCGUAGGCGGUUGUGUCUGUCCGCUGUGAAAGCCCACGGUGUACCCGUGGAGGUGCGGUGGAAACGGCAUGACUUGAGGCUGGGAGGGGCUGGUGGAAUUCCCCGUGUAGCGGUGAAAUGCGUAGAGAUGGGGGAGAACACUCGUGGCGAAGGCGGCCAGCUGGCCCAGUCCUGACGCUGAGGCGCGACAGCGUGGGGAGCA
rnacentral:rRNA from 1 species